ACAGUGGGUCUCCUCUUAGGGCACAUUCUCACCAGGGUAAGCCUCCUUGGCUCCAGCACCUCCUGGGUCUGGCCUCAGAGCAUUCAAGGUCUCUGUUCACUCUGUGAGCUCCCUGCCGUGACUCCACCUGGCUGGGGCACCUGGGGAAAGGCCCCAUGCACCCCACGACAAUCAGUGACUCUCAACCAGCUUGGAAAACAGAAGGGUUUGUUAAGCAUCAGGAACACAGCCUAGUACAGAUCUUGUUAGCACAGAAAUUAGGAACAUUCAGGAAAGCCAUCUUGGGGGUUCCUGGGCCCUGGGCUUCUCCACUUGAGUCCCAAACCAGGAGACUGACCAGCUCCCGCAACAGCCCAGCCUCAGUCAUGACCUGCUGCCCUGCCUCCUUCCUCUCUUUCCCCCAUGGCACCUGGCCUGCACCUCCCACUUCCUUCUCCAACACCUCAGGCUGAUUCUUGGAGAGGCAGGUCCCAACAUCAGUUGCCAGGAUACAGAAUGUCGACCAUUGUCUGUGCCCAGCAGCCAGACAUCAGUCACACUUGCUCUCUUGAAAUCUCGGCAACGAUCACACACCCUUGUUCCAUACACAGAGGAAACUGAGGCACACACAGUAUUCAGACAGAACUUUAAGAGCAUUCCCCACUUAGUCACUGCUUUUUUCCUUGUUCAGUUCAUAGUGGUUGGGAGGAGGCAGCGUGCUGUGAGAGAAGCAGAGCCCUGAUUAGGGGGCCUAUAAAGGCAGUCAGUGGCACAGGAGCCACAAGCAGAGCUGUAAACAGGAGGUUGGGGAAGGAGCAUUUGGGUUUUUGGUUGUUUUCUCUUUUUCCUUGGCAGGACUUUAGGUGGGAAACUGACAGCUACCGCAGAGGUAGUGACUCAAGCAAUGGAAGGGACAAUGAAGAUGACUGGAUGUGGAAACUGCAGGACAUACAUGAUCCUAGAACAGGUAGGAAGUGAAGAUGUGGACGAAGUGUCACCUUACCACAAGAGAACACUAGCAGGUCAGCCAUUAAGGCUCCAAGCUCCCCUCUCUCCUGGCUGAGAUGAUGGCUGUGAAGAACAAGGUUUUAAGGGACAAGAGCAGGUAAUCCAGAAUGUGUCUCAGGACUCGAGCAGAGAUAUAGACUGCUGGCUGCACUAAGUCUGGAAGUGUUUCCACUUCUGGAGACCUUGAGCAGGAAAGGCGUCAGGGGAUAAGCAUAUAGCAAUGUGCCAGGCCAAGGGAUGACUGCAGUAUCUCCAGUCAAGUUGUGGAAACACACUCCCCUUGUUUGCAUUGGAUGGCAUCACAAAAAGAGAUUCUUUCUGAAUGACCCUAGGAGUUUCCUGCCGCAGGGUUUACCUCAACGGAGGGAGGCUAGAAAUGGAGGAACCUUGAAAAGACACCUCUGAAUCAGAUGAGGUGUCAUCCCCCAUAUCUAUCAGAAGGGCAAGCGAUGCCUAUACUGGUGGUCGAGUUGGUACUGGGGCCCAGAGAGGGUCCUGUAACUGCAUCAGUACUGGAGGUCAGUAGUUGGUUGGCUAAUGAGAUGGUACUGGAAAAUUUUGUGCGAUACCCCACGGUCUCCAAGUGCUCUAUCAAAGGAGUUUUAGUCUGCCCUCCCCCUAUUUCUUAGGUCUGCUUUAAAACCUGAGCAGGACUUGAGUCUGUCCCAGGCAGCAGAGGCAGCCUGAAUGUCUGUCGCUGGGGGGGAAGACCUAUGGCAGGUCUGGCAGGGUUUGAAGCUUGGGGUCUUUGCGUAACCUGUACUCAAGGCCACAGAUCAAGGCCCAGAGGAAAAAAAAAAAAAAAAAAAAAAAACAGGCUCAGAUCAGGCAAGUGAACUGGGGAAAGGGAACACCCCCCUGUCAUAAAAGCACAAACUGUGUUAAAUAACUAGAAACAAAGAAAAUACCAAAGGUUAACAGAGAGUGGUAGCAAGCUGCAUAGCUAGGUAAGGACACUGCAACGCUCUGUCUCAAGCUGCAGGUGGUUGAGAAGGAAAUGGAGUGACAGCAGGUCCAGCCCCUUCCUAUACACCUUCAGAUCGGAUCACAAGGGUCUCUAGGAUGCAGGCAUGGACCUGCAGACAUUGCUGACAAAAUCUCCAAUUGAGAGUGCGUGGGUGUGCACGUCCUGACACAGAACAUUCAGAGGGACAUUACAGAAGUAUUAAACGGUCACUUUUGAAAAUUUGGCCCUUCAUCUCUCUGUGCUUUAGUUCUGCUAGCUGUAAAAACAGGAGAGUGGAACCUAAACAUCAGUCAAUGUCUCUUCAGUGCUUUCAAAAUGUAAAGUGCUACCUCACAGCUAAGUAUCAUUACAGUUUUAUGCCAAUGGCUGGCUGAAAGCUUCCUGUCUAUUGCUCGACUCCACCCAGUUCUCCUAAAUUCAUUCAUUUAGAGAACUGCUCUCAUCGGGAUUUUGUCAUCUACUCUCUUCCCACAAGAGGCUACAAAGAAAUAUUAGGAGAUUUCAGUGGUUCUUCACUGCUUCUUUCCUGCCUUCUUUAUAGAAAGACAUUCAAGAAUUAAUUUCUAAUAAAUCAGCGUGUCUGUGCACUAUGGUGGCCGAAUUCUAAGGGGUUCGUUAUGUAAUGCUAGUAAAACACAACUGGUUUUGACCACAGCACACAUGGGUAGCCUGCUAGAGGUUGCUCUGCAUGCCAGUUCCACUGGCUCAGUAAGCUGAGUGAGCACUAGAUUUUUUUUUUUUUUUAAACAAACUUUAGUUCUGGAU